UACAGAGGUCUCAAGCGUUGUUCGGAAUUACUGGGCGUAAAGGGCUCGUAGGUGGCCAACUAAGUCAGACGUGAAAUCCCUCGGCUUAACCGGGGAACUGCGUCUGAUACUGGAUGGCUGGAGUAUGGGAGAGGGAUGCGGAAUUCCAGGUGUAGCGGUGAGAUGCGUAGAUAUCUGGAGGAACACCGGUGGCGAAGGCGGCAUCCUGGACCAUUACUGACGCUGAGGAGCGAAAGCCAGGGGAGCAAACGGG
rnacentral:rRNA from 1 species